UAAUACGUAGGGGGCAAGCGUUGUCCGGAAUCAUUGGGCGUAAAGCGCGUGUAGGCGGCUUGGUAAGUCCGCUCUGAAAGCCCGGGGCUCAACCCCGGGAGGCGGGUGGAUACUGUCAAGCUCGAGUCCGGAAGAGGCGAGUGGAAUUCCUGGUGUAGCGGUGAAAUGCGCAGAUAUCAGGAGGAACACCAAUGGCGAAGGCAGCUCGCUGGGACGUGACUGACGCUGAGACGCGAAAGCGUGGGGAGCAAACAGGAUUAGAUACCCUGGUAGUCCACGCCGUAAACGAUGGGCACUAGGUGUGGGAGGUGUCGACUCCUCCCGUGCCGAAGCUAACGCAUUAAGUGCCCCGCCUGGGGAGUACGGCCGCAAGGCUA
rnacentral:rRNA from 1 species